GACAGAGGAUGCAAGCGUUAUCCGGAAUGAUUGGGCGUAAAGCGUCUGUAGGUGGCUUUUUAAGUCCGCCGUCAAAUCCCAGGGCUCAACCCUGGACAGGCGGUGGAAACUACCAAGCUGGAGUACGGUAGGGGCAGAGGGAAUUUCCGGUGGAGCGGUGAAAUGCGUAGAUAUCGAGAGGAAUACCAAAGGCGAAGGCAAGUCACUGGGCAGUUACUGACACUGAGGCACGAAGGCUAGGGGAGCAAACGGG
rnacentral:rRNA from 1 species